ACCUCAGGUGAUCCACCUGCCUCAGCCUCCCAAAGUGCUGGGAUUAUAGGUGUGAGCCACUGUGCCUGGCCUAAACCUCUUUAAAUACCAAAAAGAUCCCACUGAUCUGCCUCAUCUAUGUCUUAUUACACCUUCGACCAUUGUUUUUUAGGUUUCUACUAUGCUACUCUUUCAUGUCCUUGAAUGUGCCUUCCUCAUGGCCAUAUUGUCUGCUUGCACUAUUCAUUCCAUGUGCUCCCUUUUAUAUAAGUAAUACUUGACAUCCUUUAGAGUUUUGCUAAAACAUGACUUCCUCAGGGCAGUUUUCUUCACACCAGAAUCUCUCUCUUACAUACUCUUGGAGGCACACGUGAUCCUGGUCACAGGUCAAUCAUGUUUAACAUCUGUUUUUCACAGAAUAGAAGCUCCAUGAGGAUAGGAAUCAUAUUUGUUCCCACUGUUGUGUGCUCAGUGUUCAGAUUGUGUCUGGCACAUGCUAAAUGUUUGAUACAUAUUUGUUAAAUGAACAUUCAAGUGCUGAUGGGAAGAAUUUACACAGCCCUCUUCUCUGCCUAUAGAAAAUGUAAAGUUGAAGAAACUAGCUAGACAAUCUAUCUGCACAACUUGAUAUCCUUUGCUGUCACUCUACAUAUUGGAAAUGAUGAAAUAUAUGAAAAGGACUCUAAUGUUAUAUUGACUCAUUCAUAAAAGUGUGUGUAGAAUGCGCAAUUGGGAAACCCUGUUUGCAGAGCCCAGAGUCAUGAAGAAUAGAACUCAGGAAACCCAUUUAAGAAAACAGUGAGAACGUGUAAAAGACCUCUAUGAUGGCUCCUGCAUUAUUCAGAUUACUCAAAGAAAAGAUGUCAGCAAUGCAAGUUAAAAUAGUGUCUCCCAUGGAAAAAGAAGUAGCAGAUUCCAUUCGUGCAAAUAACAGA